rnacentral:rRNA from 1 species
GAUGAACGCUGGCGGCGUGCCUAAUACAUACAAGUCGAGCGAACGGACGAGAAGCUUGCUUCUCUGAUGUUAGCGGCGGACGGGUGAGUAACACGUGGAUAACCUACCUAUAAGACUGGUAUAACUUCGGGAAACCGUAGCUAAUACCGGAUAAUAUUUUGAACCGCAUGGUUCAAAAGUGAAAGACGGUCUUUCUGUCACUUAUAGAUGGAUCCGCGCUGCAUUAGAUAGUUGGUAAGGUAACGGCUUACCAAGGCAACGAUGCAUAGCCGACCUGAGAGGGUGAUCGGCCACACUGGAACUGAGACACGGUCCAGACUCCUACGGGAGGCAGCAGUAGGGAAUCUUCCGCAAUGGGCGAAAGCCUGACGGAGCAACGCCGCGUGAGUGAUGAAGGUCUUCGGAUCGUAAAACUCUGUUAUUAGGGAAGAACAUAUGUGUAAGUAACUGUGCACAUCUUGACGGUACCUAAUCAGAAAGCCACGGCUAACUACGUG